rnacentral:rRNA from 1 species
UGAACGCUGGCGGCGUGCCUAAUACAUGCACGUCGAGCGAACAGACGAGGAGCUUGCUCCUUUGACGUUAGCGGCGGACGGGUGAGUAACACGUAGGUAACCUACCUAUAAGACUGGGAUAACUUCGGGAAACCGGAGCUAAUACCGGAUAAUAUUUCGAACCGCAUGGUUCGAUAGUGAAAGAUGGCUUUGCUAUCACUUAUAGAUGGACCUGCGCCGUAUUAGCUAGUUGGUAAGGUAACGGCUUACCAAGGCAACGAUACGUAGCCGACCUGAGAGGGUGAUCGGCCACACUGGAACUGAGACACGGUCCAGACUCCUACGGGAGGCAGCAGUAGGGAAUCUUCCGCAAUGGGCGAAAGCCUGACGGAGCAACGCCGCGUGAGUGAUGAAGGUCUUCGGAUCGUAAAACUCUGUUAUUAGGGAAGAACAAACGUGUAAGUAACUGUGCACGUCUUGACGGUACCUAAUCAGAAAGCCACGGCUAACUACGUG